rnacentral:rRNA from 1 species
AACGAACGCUGGCGGCAUGCCUAACACAUGCAAGUCGAACGAGACCUUCGGUUCUAGUGGCGCACGGGUUCGUAACGCGUGGGAACCUGCCCUUAUGUUCGGAAUAACUCCCCGAAAGGGGUGCUAAUACCGGAUAAUGUCUUCGGACCAAAGAUUUAUCGCCUUUGGAUGGGCCCGCGUUGGAUUAGCUAGUUGGUAGGGUAAAAGCCUACCAAGGCGACGAUCCAUAGCUGGUCUGAGAGGAUGAUCAGCCACACUGGGACUGAGACACGGCCCAGACUCCUACGGGAGGCAGCAGUGGGGAAUAUUGGACAAUGGGCGAAAGCCUGAUCCAGCAAUGCCGCGUGAGUGAUGAAGGCCUUAGGGUUGUAAAGCUCUUUUACCCGGGAUGAUAAUGACAGUACCGGGAGAAUAAGCUCCGGCUAACUCCGUG